GACGAACGCUGGCGGCGUGCUUAACACAUGCAAGUCGAGCGGUAAGGCCCUUUCGGGGUACGACGAGCGGCGAACGGGUGAGUAACACGUGGGUGACCUGCCCUCAGCUCUGGGAUAAGCCUGGGAAACCGGGUCUAAUACUGGAUAUGACUCCAUGACGCAUGUUGUGGGGUGAAAGCCUUGUGCGGCUGAGGAUGGGCCCGCGGCCUAUCAGCUUGUUGGUGGGGUGANGGCCCUACCAAGGCGACGACGGGUAGCCGGCCUGAGAGGGCGACCGGCCACACUGGGACUGAGACACGGCCCAGACUCCUACGGGAGGCAGCAGUGGGGAAUCUUGCGCAAUGGGCGAAAGCCUGACGCAGCGACGCCGCGUGA
rnacentral:rRNA from 1 species